rnacentral:lncRNA from 1 species
CUAUCUAUUCCAUAUGCACACUUAGAGAUAAUUAAGAGAUAAAGAAGAGAUAAUGUUAGGAUAAUUAUGCCAACUAAUUGACUUAUUCAAAUCCUCUUAGGCUCACAAUUAAGAGCUCAAUUAAAUCUAAAUAGAUUUAGGUUAGGUUCCAGGCUAUAGACUUGAUCAAAUCAAAGUCCCAAGAAGAAUUAGGUUUAACGGUGUGCUAGCAUGGUUC